UUUACUAAGAGUUUGAUCCUAGCUCAGGAUGAACGCUGGCGGCGUGGAUAAGGCAUGCAAGUCAAGGGGGGUGCAUCACAUGGAAUGUGAUGGGAAAUAAUCAAUAAUCAAGAAACAAACACCAAACAAAUUCCAAAUCUCAAAAUUCAAGUCACAAACCUCGGCACUGCCUUGGUUUGGGUAUUGAAGUUUAAGUCAUUGGGUAUUAUUUGGUUAUUUUGUAUCUUGGAGUUUGGUGAUUUCGCAUCGCGUUUCGCGUGAUGCAUCAACCGGCAGACGAGGUAGUAAUAAGUAGGUACGCACCCCAAAGUCGGGCAUAGCUCAUCGAAAGGUGAGGUAAUUCCCGAUGGUCUCCGACCCGAAAGGCGUCGGAGUAAAGAAUUUCGCUUUGGGAGCGGCCUGCUCGGUAUCAGCUAGUUGGUAGGGUAAAAGCCUACCAAGGCUAUGACGCCUAGGGGGGGUGAGAGCCUGUUCCCCACCGAUGGAACUGCGACACGGUCCAUACACCUACGGGUGGCUGCAGUCGAGAAUCUUCCGCAAUGGGCGAAAGCCUGACGGAGCGACGCCGCGUGAUUGAUGAAGUCCUUCGGGAUGUAAAGAUCUUUUAUGAGGGAGGAAGUUAUUGACGGUACCUCAUGAAUAAGGGGUUGCUAAACUCGUGCCAGCAGCAGCGGUAAUACGAGUGCCCCAAGCGUUAUCCGGAAUCAUUGGGCGUAAAGGGUGUGUAGGCGGUAUGGUUAGUCUUCUGUCAAAUUCUUCGGCUUAACCGGGGGUCCGCAGAAGAAACGGCCAUACUUGAGGAUGCGAGAGGUCUAUGGAACUCUAGGUGUAGGGGUGAAAUCCGUUGAUAUCUAGGGGAACACCAAAAGCGAAGGCAAUAGACUGGCGCACUCCUGACGCUGAAACACGAAAGCGUGGGUAGCGAAUGGGAUUAACAACGUUCGCCUGCUUCUUUUUGAAAACACGAAAUUUUCUGGUGAAAAUUUUCUCCGUACGGCGCCAGUCGCGCCUGCCGAGGUUUCCAAAAAGAAGCAGGCUCACUCCAAGGUUUAAGAAUAAGAAGGAGUGGUGCGUAGGGGUACGUAGAACAAUAGUCCCUUUGGUUGAAGAUGUGAUUAUGCACUGAAUGAUGAGGAAGGGAAUUGGACGAGUUAGUCCUUAAAAACUGUUUCUAUCAUGGCCGAAUAAUCGGCACGACAUGUUCGAAAGAACAUGAAUGGCAACCGUCCAGACGAAAGUCUCCACGGUUGCCCUCAUCAUUCAAUGCGUAGUUUGUUUUCAAACAAAGAUAACCUAGCUAUAUGCUGGAAAAGCCGAGUAUCCGAAAGUACUUCGCGAUUACGAAGUGAAAAUCUUUUCGGUGCGGCCAAUCAGCAGGGAAGAAUCAAAGAAAUAGAUAUGGAAGAGUGAUAUGAUAUACCAUCUAAAAUCUCAAGACAGAAUCAAUGGGAUAUGGGAAAUGGUUUUCUCUGCCGCCUCUAAUGGUGAGGCAAGAGAAGAGACCAAAAAGUUGGUAAGAUUUUUAAGGCGGAGAGGCAGUCGCCCAACGCUGAGGAAGUACAACGGUGGUACUAUCCGUGUCAGACUCUGAAUAUGGUUUUGAUUUCCCUCAGAGACUAUACGCUGGGCCCAAUUUUCUGAAUCAAGGAUAUCGGAAACGAUGUCCCUCUUUCAGAGAGUUGGAGAAGAUAUAGUCCGAACUCUAUGGCGACAUAGAGAGUGCGGCGGAAACGCCCGCACCGUUAACAAAAUUGAUCUUUAGUUUUAAAAUUUUAAAUUUAAAAUUGAAAAUUUCAAUUUUGUUUCGUAACAAAAUUGUAGAUACCCCAGUAGUCCACGCCCUAAACGAUGAUCACUAGCUUUGAGGAGUAUCGACCCUCUUCGAGGCGAAGCUAACGCGUUAAGUGAUCCGCCUGGGUAGUACGACCGCAAGGUUAAAACUCAAAGGAAUAGACGGGGACUUGCACAAGCGGUGGAUCAUGUGGUUUAAUUCGACGACAAACGAAGAACCUUACCAGGGUUAGACAUCCAAUCGAAGUCUAGAAGAAACUUUAGACGUCUCACAAGGACGGUUGGACAGGUGCUGCAUGGUUGUCGUCAGUUCGUGGUUUGAAUUGUUCCCUUAAGUGGGGUAACGAACGCAACCCUCGUUGCCUGUUAUAUUUGUCAGGCGAGACAGCCCAGCGCUUUGCUCACAAUUGUUUGCGAGCAGUGCGCUGGGAGGAAGGUGAGGAUGACGCCAAAUCAGCAUGGCCCUCUGAUACCCUGGGCUACACACGUGAUACAAUCGCCGCUACAACGCGUUGCGACGGGGAAACCCUGAGCUAAUCGUUAGAAAAGCGGCGUCAGUUCGGAUUGAGGUCUGCAACUCGACCUCAUGAAGCCGGAAUCGCUAGUAAUCGCGGGUCAGCUAUACCGCGGUGAAUACGUUCUCAAGUCUUGUACUCACAAUAAAAGCGCGCAGUUGUCAAGUAUUCUAAAUAGUUAAAAUCUAUU
rnacentral:rRNA from 1 species